rnacentral:lncRNA from 1 species
UUGAAUCAAAUAAAUUCAAAGAGCAGAUUCAGAAGUUAAAUCUUCUUGAACCCAAAGAAAUUGAAAGAUCAGAUUCAGACGUGAAAGCAAUUAAAAAAAAGUGAGAUAUUGCAGUGAUAAAGGGCCUGAAAGAUCACAGAAAAAUCAAAUUCAGACGAGUGACACUGCAGAAUUUGAUUUCGCAAGUUUAUGAAAAACGAUUGAUUGGACCGUAGGGUUAUCAGGAUCCAUUCAAGAAGCUGAACUUGC